rnacentral:lncRNA from 1 species
AUCCCCAUGAAAAUUCUCAAGUAAUAAUUCACACGUAAAUUACUAGAAACAUUUCACAAUUAGUCAAAAAUAUAUUCAAAACCUUCAAUAAUUCUCAAAAAAACAUCAUUCAAUACAAGUCUAAUAUAAACCAUUACAGCUAACAAAAAACAUAAUUCAAAACAUCCACAUCAAUAAUGUAUGAUUCUUAAAUGGUCCAAAAUAAAAUAUUUCAAACUUGAACCCUCAAUAAAACUAUCAACCAUCAUGGUCAGAAUCACUUUCAUUCUCAUAAAACUUGGUUGUCUUCUUGAGAUGGGUGUUCGUCAUUUGAAGAUGAUUUCUUGUAUACAUGCUUCAUCAACAAGUCCAGUUCUUUUCUCAUCCUCCUUCCACAAUUGAUGCACUUUGAGCAAUUAAUAUUUCUUGUUUCUUUCUUUCAAUCUCAUUCUGCAUAAGAAUAUGUUAAUUCAGUCCAUAAAAAGUGAUAAAAAUACAUCAUUAUCAUAAAUUAUAUGAAAUUAUAGUACUAAAUAAAAUCAUAACAAUCAACAAAUAUAAACAUGUAUAUAUUAGCAUAUAAAGCAUCAUAAACUCAAAGUUGAUUUUUCAAAUUAUUGUGACUAUUGUUAUGACUUGUCCUAUUAAAAUAACAUAGGAUGAAAUUAGAAAAAUAAGAGAACAAGAGGAAAGGUUCAAGUGGGGCCAUGUAUUUAACACUUAAUGUGAAGAAAAAUCUUUUUUUAUUUGUUAAAACUCCGAACCUGGUCAAAUGGAUUAUACAAGAUACACUGCAAUAGAUUAUACAUUGUCAGGUAUACUGCAAUGGAUUAUACAAGAAGAGUUACUCAAUGAGAAAUUCUCAAAGCAGAGAUCUUUUCAUAUAACCAAACAUAUUUAUUUUGUAACUAUACUUUAUUAUUUUCAAGUUAUUAGUACGCAUUUCAAGUGACUAUACAUAACUGUUUUAAAGUCACAAGUUUGCAAUUUCAAGUAACUAUGCUUAAUCAUUUUCAAAUCACUACACUUAAUAAUUUUCAAAUAACUUAUUCACAUUUUAAGUCACUAGUACACAUUUCAAGUCUCUACACUUGAACCAUUUUCAAAUAGCCAAUUGAUACUUUAAGUCACUAUACUUAGAGGAGAACCCAAAAUUUGAAGUCUGUGGGUGCACCGGUGUUGUCAAAGGUGCGCAUAAGCCUUGAAGCGAGAUUCAAAAUGUGAUGAGCGAGCGCCUCGCUUAAAGUGGACUUUAGGUUCUAAUUUUUAAGACAUACUUUUCCUUGUCAAUAAGACUUUUCUGAAGAGACAAACGCUAAACAAUUGAUAUUUCAUUUUAUCAAGAAAAUUAAUUUUUUUGUUCAUAUAUUCGUCAUUCAUGUUUAUAUUAUUAGUCUUGGAAUAGACAUAUAUUUAUAUAUUUUUUUCCUUUAUGCUUUUUUUUUUGGUUAAAUCUCACUCUUUAUUUAUACUUUGUGAUUAAACACAAUGGACCUUGAAGCUUUUUUGCCCCUUUUGCUUUUGAUAAUACUGUGGUGCAUCAACAUUAUCUUAACGUAGACGUUAGCAAAACUUUCAAUGUCGAUUAAGGGAUAUUAUCAUAUUUGAUUGGUCGCUAAUGGUAUAACAGUACUGAAAAAAUAAAUAUAUAGAACAAAUCUGAGUUCUAAGCUAAUAACCUUACUUUCUUAUAAUAUGAAGGUCAACUAAUAUGUUGAGUUUUAACUUUUAUGAACCAUCAAUUGUGGUAGCUUAAUGUUCAAGGUGGAUUCACCAGUUAUGUUUAAGUAAUAUGUUAAAGUUUUAACUUUUAUGAACCAUCAAUUGCGGUAGCUUAAUGGUCAAGGUGGAUUCACCAUACAGGGUCGCGGGUUCGAAUCCCAUCCCAGUACAAUAAUUUUGAUGUUAUAAAUUUAUUAGUAGCCUUUAAAUAAUUAAAUAAAGCUAAAAAGGAUGUGCGGCCCCAGACUCGAUCCAUGGUUGCGUGGGUGAUACAGCUGACUUCAACCAACGCACCAAGGUGCACUUCCGUUAUUGUUUGGGUGCACUAUUAACUAUAUCCCAAUUUCUCAAGGUAUAUAUACUUAUAUACACAUAAUUUUUUUCGACGUUAACAGGUGCACGUGCACCCCCAUGGAUACAUGUAGGUCCGCCUCUGACUAUACUUAACCAUUUUCAAGUAACUACAUUUAACCAUUUUCAAGUCACUGCACUUGACCAUUUUCAAGUAACUAAUUCACAUUUCAAGUCACUUCACUUAAUUAUUUUUAAGUCACUAGUACACAUUUCAAGUUACUACACUUGACCAUUUUCAAAUAAUUAAUUUACAUUUCAAGUCACUAUACUUGACCAUUUUCAAGUAACUACUUCACAUUGCAAAUAAUUAUACUUAACCAUUUUCAAGUAAUUACUUCACAUUUCAAAUAACUAUACUUAAUCAUUUUCAAGUCAAUACACUUAAUCAUUCAUUUCAAAUCACUAUACUUAACCACUUUCAAGUAACUAAUUCACAUUUCAAGUAACUACACUGAACCAUUUUCAAGUCACUAGUACACAUUUUAAGUCACUAUACUUAACCAUUUUCAAGUAACUACACUUAACUAUUUGCAAGUCACUAGCACACAUUUCAAGUUACUAUACUGAAUCAUUUUAAAGUCACAAGUAUACAUUUCAAGUAACUACACUUAAUCAUUGUCAAGUCACAACAACAACAAACCCAAUGUAUUCCUACAUAAUGAGGUCGGGGGAGAGUAAGAUGUACGCAGUCCAUACCACUACCUCUGGAGAAGUAGCAAGGUUGUUUCCGAUAGACCCCCAGCUCAAGAUAAGAUAAGUCAUCAAAAAUGUACACAAAGCAUGGAACAAUAUGACAUGACAUGACAUAAAUACGCCACCUAUAAGGAGUAGUAAACAAAGAAUAGUAAGCAAUCGUAAUGCAGCAUAACAAGAAUACUGCAUCGGCCAAGUAAAGCCCUAUCCUACCUACCAAAAAAGUCACUAGCCUUCUAUCCUAAUACGUGUCAUCAAGAUUUUCCUAGCUAGGGUCAUGUCCUCAGUAAGCUGUAACUGCUCCAUGUCCCGCCUAAUCACCUCUCUGCAGUAUUUCUUCGGCCUACCCCUGCCCCGCCUGAAACCAUCCAAAGUAAGUCUCUCACACCUACAAACCUGAGCAUUCGUGCCCCUCCUCAUCAUAUGUCCAAACCAUCUCAAACAAACCUCCCCAUCUUGUCCUCCACCGAAGCCACACCAACCUUAUCUCGAAUAGUUUCAUUCCGAACCCUAUCCCCCUAGUAAGCCAACACAUCCAGCGCAACAUCCGUAUUUCCGCCACCUUUAGUUUUUGAAAGUGAGAAUUCUUGACAGGUCAACACUCCGCUCCAUACAACAUGGCCGGAUGGACUGCCACCCUAUAAAAUUUGCCUUUAAGCUUGGGCGGCACCUUCUUAUCACACAACACCCCCGAGACGAGCAUCCACUUCAUUCAUCCAGCCCCGAUCCGGUGAGAGACAUCCUCGUCAAUCUCACCAUUCCCCUGAAUCAUGGCCCCUAAGUACUUGAAACUAUCCCUCUUACACACCACCUGAGAAUCCAACCUUACUACCACCUUGUCCACCUCCCUCGAGACAUUAAACUUACAUUAAAAAAUAUUCAAUCUUGCUCCUACUUAACCUGAACCCUUUAGACUCAAGGGUCUGUCUCCACACCUCUAAUUUAUCAUUCACGCCUCUCUGAGUCUCGUCAAUUAAAACCACAUCGUCUGCAAAAAGCAUACACCAGGGCACCUCGCCUUGGAUACGCCGCGUCAACACAUCCAUAACCAAAGCAAACAAAAAUGGGCUAAAAGUAGAUCCCUGAUGCAACCCUGUCAAGAUCGAAAAAUAUUCUGAAUCGCUUCCCGCCAUCCUCACCUGGGUCUUAGCUCCAUCAUACAUGUCCUUGAUCGCUCUGGUAUACGCUACCUGGACCCCACUCACCUCUAAGCAUCUCCAAAGGACUUCUCUAGGGACUUUGUCAUAUACCUUCUCCAAAUUGAUAAACAUCAUGUGCAGGUCCUUCUUUCUUUCCCUGUACUGUUCCACUAGUCUCUGCACUAGGUGAAUUGCCUCCGUCGUCAAGCGCUCAGGCAUAAAUCUAAACUGGUUCUCCAAAAUAGAUACAAUCCUCUUCAACCUCCACUCGACCACACUCUCCCAAAUCUUCAUCGUGUGGCACAAUAACUUAAUACCCCUAUAGUUAUUGCAACUCUGAAAGUCACCCUUAUUCUUAUACAGAGGGAUCAUAGUACUCCAUCUCCAAGCCUCAAGCAUUUUCGCCGGCUUGAAAAUGUCGUUGAAUAAAUCCGUCAACCACCUCAAACCAACCUCGCCAAAAAACUUCCAAAAAUCCACGGGGAUAUCAUCAGGCCCCAUCGCCCUACCCCUUCGCAUCCUGUAAACUGCCUCUCUAACCUCCUCCGCCUUAAAACGUCUACAAUAACUAAAAUCACGACACUCCUCCGAAUGUUCCAGCUCACCUAACUUAAUAACUCCCUCCCAUUCAUCAUUCAAAAGCCUAUGAAAACAUGACUGCCACCUUUUUUUAAUAUGACCAUCCUUUACCAAAAUUCUACCAUCCUCCCCUUAAUGUACUUCACCUAGUCUAGGUCACGGCCCUUUAUCUCCCUAGACUUAGACAAUCUAAACAACCUUUUUCCUCUCCUUUCUCUUUUAACCCCACAUACAAGCUCUCAAAUGCUGCUGUAACGGCAAGCUUAGCCUCCUUCCUUGCUAGCUUGUACUCCUCCCUAAAAACCCGCUUCUCUUCAUCAUCCUUACUCUCAACCAACUUUGCAUGUGCCCCCUUCUUAGUCUCCACCUUUUUUCUUUACUUCAUCACUCCACUACCAAUCCCCUCAAUCCCCUAUAUGGUGCCCGGUCUGGCCCUUAGACACAACCAAAACCUCGCUAGCAGUCUCUUUGAUGCACCUAGCCGCCCUAUCCCACCUAUCAUCUAUGUUUCCUCUACGCUCUCACACCCUCAUACCAGUCAACUUCUUCCCUAUCUCUUACGUAUUCACUGGCAUCAAGUUUCCCUACCUAAUUCUCGGUCAGCCCUCAUCACCCCUACUCUUCUUACCCUUCUUUAUUCCCAAGUCCAUCACCAAGAGUCUAUGCUGAGUCGAAAGAUUCUCACUCAGAAUGACCUUACAGUCCUUACACAACCCCUUAUCCUCUUUCCUAAGAAGCAAAAAGUCAAUUUGGGUCUUGGCUAUCACGCUUUAAAAGACCUCGUAAAUUCCAACAGCGCAGCUCCCUCUUCAUUUCUCUCCCCAAAACCAAAACCACCAUGCACAUCGUCAAAGCCUCCCGGAAAUGCCCCGAUGUGUCUAUUAAAAUCCCCUGCUACAACAAUCUUCUCAAAGCUAGGCAUGUCGCUAACCAAAGCAUCCAAGUCCUCUCAAAAACAAACAUAAUAGACAUCAGCCUAUCACUAAUCCUCUUCACCUCCACUACCUGCCCUCUAAGCUCUUCAUCUACUAAGAUGCCAACUCUAUUCCUACGACUCUCACUUUCAGAGUACCUAAGCUUGUAACCAUCCACAUCACUAGCCUUAGACCCUACCCACUUAGUCUUCUGGACACACGCUAUAUUGAUCCUCUUCUUUCUAAGAAUCUUUACCAGCUCUAUGGACUUUCCCUGGAGAGUCCCUAUAUUCCAAGACCCAACCCUCAGCCUAUCAAUUCUAGCGACACGCCCUCCUCUAUUGCCCUUAACGCCAGACCUAGCCCCUACUCCUCCACCUGCCCUACUCUCGUCCCCCACCCCCAACAUAUCCCCCACCCCCACUACACCAAGAAAAUAACAACCGCGAUAGUAAUAACAAAAACAGGGAUACAAAGCAAUGACAGGAAAAACAAGGCACACGCGACAUAGAUGUAAUGAACAAGCAACAGUCAAUCCCACAAAUUAGAAGCGUUCAGGAGAUGAAAUAAUCAAAUAAUCAGGGAAAGGAGGGAAAGUAGACGAGCAGGAUAAUGCACAAAAAUUAAGUCGUCGAAAGUAGCUAAAGUACGAAACACCAGAAGGAAAAUACAAAGCAACGACAGGAAAUAAGGCACACGCAAAGCAGAUGGGAUAAGCAAGAAAAAGUCAAUCCCACAAAUUAAAAAUUCAAGAGAAUUCAAUAGAUGUAAAGAAAUGAAAUAAGCAGUAAAGGUAGAAGGAACGAGAAAAAAAUAAUGCAACGUAACUAAAAGAAAUUAGUGGUUUAGAUGUCACCUGUAUAGUCCUGUGUGCUGUUGGUUAGGUUUCCGGUAAAGCGGUCACCGGAACAAGCCCGCCAGUGAGUCGCCGGAGUAACCUUGCCGAAACUGGGUGCUGGCUCGUCUGCUUACCAACCUGCUCUGCCAAUGCUGCCACUCUUACCCUUCUUCAGAAAUGAGUCGAGCCGACGGAACACUAAGGUCGCCGGCGAUAGCCGUGUCUAGGAGGCAGAGGAGGAAAGGAGAGAGAAGAGAGUAGAGACGGGGAUGGGGAGAUCUUGGGAAGAAAGGAUCGUGGGAGAGAGAGCCCUUACCUAUUACCAACAUAGCUACGUCGUCGUCGGAGACAGCACCGACCGUUGGAGGCCAGUGACAUAGGGGUGGCUGGGGUCAGUGAACGUUAAGAAAAGAGAGAGAGAAUGUUCAGAGAGAGAGAGGUGGUACUGUUUAAACACAAAUUAAACAAUUUACUGUUAAAAUCAACAUGUUCAUAAAAAGUUUUGCCAAUCAUUGUCAAGUCACAAGUUCACAAUUCAAAUGACUACACUUAACCAUUUUCAAGUAACUAAUUCACAUUUCAAGUAACUACACUUAACCAUUUUCAAGUCACUACUACACACUUCAAAUCACUACACUUAACCAUUUUCAAAUAACUAAUUUACAUUACAAGUCACUACACUUAAUAACAUUCUCAAGUCACUAAUGCACAUUUCAAAUCACUACACUUGACUAUUUUCAAUUAAUUAAGUCACAUUUCAAGUCACUAUAUUUAAUCAUUUUCAAGUAAUUAUAUAUCUAUGCUACAUUCCAUCAAAACACACUUAAACAUAAUUUUCAAGUACCUAAAUUUAAAACACAAAUCACUAAUUCAUAAUUCAAGUAACUACACUUAAACAACUUUUAAGUCCCUAAUUCACUUCACAAGUUACUAAUUCCCCUUUCAAGUACCUACACUUACACAUUCUCAAGUCACUAAUUCACUCCUCAAGUGACCACACUUUAAUAAAUUGAAAACACAAGAUCACCUUUCAAGUACCUACACUUACACAUUUUCAAGUCGCUAAUUCACUUAUCAAAUGACCACACGUUACUAAAUUCAAAACAAAAGUUCACAUUUCAAGUACCUAAAUUCAAAACAAAAGUUCACAUUUCAAGUACCUAAAUUCAAAACACAAGUAAUUAUUUCAUAAUUCAAGAAACAAUAUAUUGAAUUAUCAAGAUUCAGGGUUGAAAAUUACAGUAAGUGAUAUCAGAUUAAGUGAUUAUUAACUCUACUAUCCUAUGGGUCCUGCAUCAUCACGAUGCACCCUUUUCUUUAAUAAGUACAUCAACAUGAAAUCAUAAAUCAAUUUACAGAUAUGCAGCUGUCUACAUAUAUAAUCAGAUAAUUUCAGCCCCUAUCGUGCAUUAGCCCUAAAUCUCAAGACUCAACAAGAUACUUUUUGUAAGAAUUUCAGUAAGAUACUUUGACAAACAGAUCUAAAUAAUAUCAAUUGUUGGAUAGAUAUACAAUAAUUUUAUGGCUAGAAAUGUACUACAUAAAAACUCAAAACGACAUAUUGGGAGAGGCUCAUUUUGGGAUAUCAAAAAUCUAUGAUAAACCCAGAGGAGAUGUCAAAUCUCCCUGUCUAGUUCAAACUGCUACAACCAACAGCAUACAUAUUGAACUAUACAGUACCCAAUAACCCGUUGACUUCAUGAUCAUUAGGACAUCUGAGAGGUUCUGAGAAAAUAAGGUACCACUACCGAUCUCACGCAUUUAUCUAUCAAAUAUAUGAAACAGUUCUCAUCUCGGAAACAUCGGAAGACUUGUUUUUGUUUAAUGGUAAGAAAAUUCAAGGGUGAAGUUUUCAGCUUGAAAUAAAUUAUAAAUUGUCAAAAAGUAGAAAAAGGGUAACUUACAUUGUUAAGUUGCUGUUAGCAAAAGGCACCUGUUCAUUCAAGAGCAAAGUUAUGCUUGCUAAAAACAAACCAGUUGGUUGUUUGCCUCAAAUUUGUAUUUUCCUUUCUGUAAAUUGGACCUUCAGAAUGUGUAGAUAGAAGGAAGAGGUCUGCAAUGGAGAGAAAAUUAGGCAAAGUAUAGGGGCACUUAUUGCUUCAUCACAUACCAAAGCAACUCUAACUUCUCAAUAUCAGAAACGGGCACAACAAAGAGUAAUAAGUUUUCAAAUGUCAGCAAUAAAAAGUGAUUUAUCCAUACUAUACUAUGACUUGGCUAUAGAAACUAGACCGACCCUCUCAACUAUAGAUCAUCCAUAACCAACAGUUUACAAACUCAAAACCAUUAACAAGUGAAAAUGACGUUAAUACUCACAACAGUGCUUUCGUGGGUUGUUGGCUCGACUGGUGGAGUCGUCGGUGGGGUGAGGGAGAGGAGAGGCGUCGGAGUAGCGGCAGCGUCGGCGGUGCGGUUAGCCGGAGAAGGAGAAAUGGGCGGCUGUAAUGGUGGAGUUUAGAGAGAACAAAGCGUAGGGAGAGAGAAGGAAGUGCGGUUGUUGUUGGUAAAAAAUGGUUAGGGUUUGGUUUUUGGUAUGUUAAAAAGGGAAGA